rnacentral:rRNA from 1 species
CAGUCGCCGCGGGAAUACGAGGGGGGCAAGCGUUGCUCGGAAUUACUGGGCGUAAAGGGCGCGUAGGCGGACAGUUCAGUCGGGGGUGAAAGCCCGGGGCUCAACCUCGGAAUUGCCUUCGAUACUGGCUGUCUUGAGUAUGAGAGAGGUGUGUGGAACUCCGAGUGUAGAGGUGAAAUUCGUAGAUAUUCGGAAGAACACCAGUGGCGAAGGCGACACACUGGCUCAUUACUGACGCUGAGGCGCGAAAGCGUGGGGAGCAAACAGGAUUAGAUAACCCCGGUAGUCCCUGUCUCUUAUU